UGGUUCUCGCAUCGAUGAAGAACGCAGCGAAACGCGAUAGGUAAUGUGAAUUGCAGAAUUCCGUGAAUCAUCGAAUCUUUGAACGCACAUUGCGCCUUCUGGUAUUCCGGGAGGCAUGCCUGUUUGAGCGUCAGCAAAACCCUUCGGCAUGACUUUUCUGUCACGUCCGGUGUUGGGCCUCAGGGGAACGGGCGUAACAGCCCACCCUGGCCUUAAAAUUGCUGCACGACCGCAAGUUAUUCUUUGGUCAAUAGAGUGGUGUUAUCAUAAUUCUAUACAUCUGAAGAGUACCUGGUGGCGUUAAACCAGCGUUGCCCGCAAAGGCAACUGAAGUUUGACCUCAAAUCAGACAAGGAUACCCGCUGA
rnacentral:misc_RNA from 1 species